rnacentral:rRNA from 1 species
UUUGGGCGUGUCUCCCUUCUCGGGAGACUCUCUUGACCCCACGAACCCUUGACCUCAAAUCGGGUGAGACUACCCGCUGAACUUAAGCAUAUCAAUAAGCGGAGGAAAAGAAACUAACAAGGAUUCCCCUAGUAACUGCGAGUGAAGCGGGAAAAGCUCAAAUUUAAAAUCUGCCGGUCUUUGGCCGUCCGAGUUGUAAUUUAGAGAAGCGUCUUCCGCGCUGGACCGUGUACAAGUCUCCUG